UCGGAGCAUAAUUUCUGGAAGGAAAUUUGUUCACCGACAGAAAAAACAUCAAAAAUACACAUCUUAUUAAAACCAAAUAAUACUUUUAGAUGGAACUCAAUUAGUUCUACUUAGCAGUAGGUACACUAUAAUUUCUAAACUAGUUUUGUCCCUCGAGAGAUCAACAAUUACGUUAGUGAAUUAUACUUCCAAUUCGUAUAUAUUUACUCGAGUUAAUUUGAAUCGCUCGAGAAGGGACAUAACAUUUAAUAAGCUUAAUUCAACUAUUUUGUAUACAUCUUGUAAAUUCAAAGUGCACC